rnacentral:rRNA from 1 species
UACGUAGGGAGCAAGCGUUGUCCGGAAUCAUUGGGCGUAAAGCGCGCGUAGGUGGCUUCGUAAGUCCGUUGUGAAAGUCAAAGGCUCAACCUUUGAAAGCCGAUGGAUACUGUGGAGCUAGAGUACGGAAGAGGCGAGUGGGAAUUCCUGGUGUAGCGGUGGAAUGCGCAGAUAGUCAGGAGGAACACCAUAGCGAAGGCAGCUCGCUGGGACGUUACUGACACUGAGGCGCGAAAGCGUGGGGAGCGAACAGG